AUCAUGCAAGCUUGCUUGCGGGUGAGAGUGGCGAACGGGUGAGUAAUGCGUGACCAACCUGCCCCAUGCUCCGGAAUAGCUCCUGGAAACGGGUGGUAAUGCCGGAUGUGCCGGGCUCCUGCAUGGGGGUCCGGGAAAGCUCUGGCGGCGUGGGAUGGGGUCGCGUCCUAUCAGCUUGUUGGCGGGGUGAGGGCCCACCAAGGCUUCGACGGGUAGCCGGCCUGAGAGGGCGACCGGCCACAUUGGGACUGAGAUACGGCCCAGACUCCUACGGGAGGCAGCAGUGGGGAAUAUUGCACAAUGGGCGCAAGCCUGAUGCAGCGACGCCGCGUGCGGGAUGGAGGCCUUCGGGUUGUAAACCGCUUUUGUUUGGGAGCAAGCCCUUCGGGGUGAGUGUACCUUUCGAAUAAGCACCGGCUAACUACGUGCCAGCAGCCGCGGUAAUACGUAGGGUGCGAGCGUUAUCCGGAUUUAUUGGGCGUAAAGGGCUCGUAGGCGGUUCGUCGCGUCCGGUGUGAAAGUCCAUCGCCUAACGGUGGAUCUGCGCCGGGUACGGGCGGGCUGGAGUGCGGUAGGGGAGACUGGAAUUCCCGGUGUAACGGUGGAAUGUGUAGAUAUCGGGAAGAACACCAAUGGCGAAGGC
rnacentral:rRNA from 1 species